rnacentral:rRNA from 1 species
UACGUAGGGGGCUAGCGUUGUCCGGAAUUAUUGGGCGUAAAGAGCUCGUAGGCGGUUUGUCGCGUCUGCUGUGAAAAUCCAGGGCUUAACCCUGGACCUGCAGUGGGUACGGGCAGACUAGAGUGCGGUAGGGGAGAUCGGAAUUCCUGGUGUAGCGGUGAAAUGCGCAGAUAUCAGGAGGAACACCAGUGGCGAAGGCGGCUCACUGGACCGGUGCUGACGCUGAUGCGCGAAAGCGUGGGGAGCAAACGGG